GACGAACGCUGGCGGCGUGCUUAACACAUGCAAGUCGAACGGAAAGGCCCUGCUUUUGUGGGGUGCUCGAGUGGCGAACGGGUGAGUAACACGUGAGUAACCUGCCCUUGACUUUGGGAUAACUUCAGGAAACUGGGGCUAAUACCGGAUAGGAGCUCCUGCUGCAUGGUGGGGGUUGGAAAGUUUCGGCGGUUGGGGAUGGACUCGCGGCUUAUCAGCUUGUUGGUGGGGUAGUGGCUUACCAAGGCUUUGACGGGUAGCCGGCCUGAGAGGGUGCCCGGCCACAUUGGGACUGAGAUACGGCCCAGACUCCUACGGGAGGCAGCAGUGGGGAAUAUUGAACAAUGGGCGGAAGCCUGAUGCAGCAACGCCGCGUGCGGGAUGACGGCCUUCGGGUUGUAAACCGCUUUCGCCUGUGACGAAGCGUGAGUGACGGUAAUGGGUAAAGAAGCACCGGCUAACUACGUG
rnacentral:rRNA from 1 species